GCAAGAUUAAUUGUGCAGAAAAUCAUCUGUAUUAAUUGCUUACACUGCCAAAACGCCGCUAGAAAACAGGCAGCUGUUAGGUGACUCUUACCCUGGAAAGUACUGAGGCUGCAGAGAUGAGGAAGACGUGCACCCUGCACACCAUGUUUUUUCGGAAGAAUCAUGGCAACAUGACGCAGGCACGAGAGAGGUGUCUCCGAGUGGCUGAAAGCACAGGUGAGAUCUAAUGUCAGCAGAAAACCAAUAAGACUUUCAAUGAGGAGUUCGAUCCCCACGGAGACGAUUUAACAUCAUGAGAAGAAAAUCUGUGCCUGGCCCGGACCCUGCAGGAACCCAGUAAGCUGUGUGAGAGCCAAAUAGAAAACUGAAAAGGAAAGACAACAUUUUGAAAAGCACAUGCCUAUUUCUGUAGAAAACAGUCAUUAUCAAUAGCUUUCUUUUUGAAGGCUAACUAUAUGCGUUGUGCCACGUAGGUGUUUUCUACGAUGGCUUCAGUUCAUUGUAUAACAGCCCAGCAACGUACGUGAAUGUAUAGUCCCCAUUUUUUAAGAU
rnacentral:lncRNA from 13 species